rnacentral:rRNA from 1 species
CGCUAUCCAUCCUACGGGAGGCAGCAGUGGGGAAUAUUGCACAAUGGGCGCAAGCCUGAUGCAGCCAUGCCGCGUGUAUGAAGAAGGCCUUCGGGUUGUAAAGUACUUUCAGCAGUGAGGAAGGUGGAUGCGUUAAUAGCGUAUUCAUUUGACGUUAGCUGCAGAAGAAGCACCGGCUAACUCCGUGCCAGCAGCCGCGGUAAUACGGAGGGUGCGAGCGUUAAUCGGAAUUACUGGGCGUAAAGCGCAUGCAGGUGGUUUGUUAAGUCAGAUGUGAAAGCCCGGGGCUCAACCUCGGAAUUGCAUUUGAAACUGGCAGACUAGAGUACUGUAGAGGGGGUAGAAUUUCAGGUGUAGCGGUGAAAUGCGUAGAGAUCUGAAGGAAUACCGGUGGCGAAGGCGGCCCCCUGGACAGAUACUGACACUCAGAUGCGAAAGCGUGGGGAGCAAACAGGAUUAGAUACCCUGGUAG